rnacentral:rRNA from 1 species
CAAUAUAAGUGAUGGCGACCGGCGCACGGGUGAGUAACACGUAUCCAACCUGCCGAUAACUCGGGGAUAGCCUUUCGAAAGAAAGAUUAAUACCCGAUGGUAUAAUAAAACCGCAUGGUUUAAUUAUUAAAGAAUUUUGGUUAUCGAUGGGGAUGCGUUCCAUUAGGCAGUUGGUGAGGUAACGGCUCACCAAACCUUCGAUGGACAGGGGUUCUGAGAGGAAGGUCCCCCACAUUGGAACUGAGACACGGUCCAA